rnacentral:tRNA from 1 species
UGGGUCAUCGCCAAGCGGUAAGGCACAGGACUUUGACUCCUGCAUCACGCUGGUUCGAAUCCAGCUGGCCCAG